rnacentral:lncRNA from 1 species
AGAUAUUAUUAAAAAAUAAACUUCCAAUUAAGGGUCGGUUUGGUUUAUCGUAAAACUGUAAAAAUAAUUUUUCGUCAAGUAAAAAUUUCGGUAGGAAAAAAGUUUUACUUUUUGUAAUAUUUGGCUCGUAGAAAAAAAAAUUAUGUUAAUAUUUGUUUGGUAGAAAGUAAAAAAAAAUUACAUUUAUUUGAUUUGGUGAAGAAAAAAUGAAUGAAAAAAAUUUUACGUAGUUUGAAUUUUCAUUUAUGUUGAAAAACAGUCAAAAACAAAAAUUUUUUUUUUUUCAAAUCCGUAAAAAUGCUUUUAUGAAAAAAUAGUUUUAUGUCGAACCAAAUAAGUAAAAAAAUAUUUUUCACAACGAAAAUAAUAUUUUUAGUUUGUUUUAUGCCGAACCAAACGCCUCUAAUUUAGGAACUACUGCUGGCAUGUGAUUGUAAGGCUUAGUUUGGUAUUGAGACCUAUCUAACACUAUUAGAUAAAAUGGAGUUGAGGAAAAAAAAGCAUAUAAUGAUAUGCUUCUGUAUUCUCCACUGAGACCGUAAAAAUAUAUCGUAACCGACUCAGAUAUGCGGAACGCAAUAUUACGUACGGAAACAAACAGAAUAUUUUUCUAACAUACUUUCUUACUGCACAUAACGUAAUCUCCCCGCAAUUCUAAACGAAUGGUUAUAUAAUGAGAAAAAAAUUUUCUGAGUAA